rnacentral:rRNA from 1 species
UGCAGUCGAACGGCAGCGGGGGCUUCGGCCCGCCGGCGAGUGGCGAACGGGUGAGUAAUGCAUCGGAACGUACCCAGUCGUGGGGGAUAACUACGCGAAAGCGUAGCUAAUACCGCAUACGCCCUGAGGGGGAAAGCGGGGGACCUUCGGGCCUCGCGCGAUUGGAGCGGCUGAUGUCGGAUUAGCUAGUUGGUGGGGUAAAGGCCUACCAAGGCGACGAUCCGUAGCUGGUCUGAGAGGAUGAUCAGCCACACUGGGACUGAGACACGGCCCAGACUCCUACGGGAGGCAGCAGUGGGGAAUUUUGGACAAUGGGCGCAAGCCUGAUCCAGCCAUGCCGCGUGAGUGAAGAAGGCCUUCGGGUUGUAAAGCUCUUUCAGACGGAAAGAAAUCGGGCGCGUGAAUAGCGUGCCUGGAUGACGGUACUGUCAGAAGAAGCACCGGCUAACUACGUGCCAGCAGCCGCGGUAAUACGUAGGGUGCGAGCGUUAAUCGGAAUUACUGGGCGUAAAGCGUGCGCAGGCGGUUGUGUAAGACAGGUGUGAAAUCCCCGGGCUUAACCUGGGAACUGCGCUUGUGACUGCACGGCUAGAGUACGGCAGAGGGGGGUGGAAUUCCACGUGUAGCAGUGAAAUGCGUAGAUAUGUGGAGGAACACCGAUGG